rnacentral:rRNA from 1 species
GACAGAGGAUGCAAGCGUUAUCCGGAAUGAUUGGGCGUAAAGCGUCUGUAGGUGGCUUUUUAAGUUCGCCGUCAAAUCCCAGGGCUCAACCCUGGACAGGCGGUGGAAACUACCAAGCUGGAGUACGGUAGGGGCAGAGGGAAUUUCCGGUGGAGCGGUGAAAUGCGUAGAGAUCGGGAGGAACACCAGAGGCGAAGGCGGCGACCUGGACAGGCACUGACACUCAACUACGAAAGCGUGGGGAGCAAACAGG